rnacentral:rRNA from 1 species
UACGUAGGGGGCAAGCGUUGUCCGGAAUCAUUGGGCGUAAAGCGCGUGUAGGCGGCUCGAUAAGUCUGCUGUGAAAGUCCAGGGCUCAACCCUGGGAUGCCGGUGGAUACUGUCGAGCUCGAGUCCGGAAGAGGCGAAGUGGAAUUCCUGGUGUAGCGGUGAAAUGCGUAGAGAUCGGGAGGAACACCAGAGGCGAAGGCGGCGACCUGGACAAGUACUGACACUCAACUGCGAAAGCGUGGGGAGCAAACAGG